GUGCUCGCUUUGGCAGCACGUAUACUAAAAUUGGAAUGAUACAGAGAAGAUUAGCAUGGCCCCUGCACAUGGGUGAUAUGCAAAUUUGUGAAAUGUUCCAUAUUUUU
rfam:Pteropus alecto contig102082, whole genome shotgun sequence.